rnacentral:lncRNA from 1 species
CUCUUCAUAGCAAUAAAACCCUAACUAGGACACUGUGCAAGCUGUGGAGAAGCAAGCCAGUCAGGGGCAUUUCUCCAGGAUAGGUGCUUCACUUCCUCCUUGAGUUCCUGCUCUGACUCUUCUCAGUGACGGACUUUAAUCUGUGAGGUAAAGCCUUUCCUCCCCAAGUUGUAUUUGAUAGCAUUUUAUCGCAACAGUAGAAAAGUAAGGACUGUUCAGAGCAAGACGGAAUAACUUCUCUCCUCCCCACUUUGCUAGGACAACUAGGGAGGUAGCACAGUGCGGAGGAAAAUAGCGUACACCUGACAUGACAUGAAAUCUGAAAAUUUCCCAAGGAACAAGAACCAGAAGCCAGAGCACACAGAACAGCAAGAGGAACCUGGACACAAUCACAAGCGAAGAAGGAGGAACCAUGCCACUAAGAGCGUGGCAGCUGAUCUUUUCCAAAGGGAGAACCACAGAUCUGAUGGGAGCUACGGGGAUUAACCUUGGAGCAUGGUGGCUUCAGCCAGAACAAUACUGCAGAAAAUCCAAGGAGUAACUUGGGCCCCAGAAUCUCAUCCCCUUGUGAAGGUCAAACUGUGUGUAUGUGUGUGUGUGUUGUAUAUCUUCCCACACAUGAGAACACAUAAGAUACACUAAAGAAAGUAUUUUGAUCAUUUGGAAAUUCAAAAAGAAGAACUUUUUUUUUUUUUUAAAAAGGUGUCUCUUGAUUCUUUUGCCUGCUGGUAGGACCCUUCUCCUCCGACUGGGUUGCCUUGUCCAACCUUCAUGUGAUGGUGUGUUCCUGGUCUUAUUGUAGCUUGUUAUGCCAUGUUUGGUUGAUGUCCCUAGGAGGUCUGUGC